rnacentral:rRNA from 1 species
CCCUUAGAUGUCCUGGGCCGCACGCGCGCUACACUGAUGCAUUCAACGAGUUUUACCUUGGCCGAGAGGCCUGGGCAAUCUUUUAAACCUGCAUCGUGAUAGGGAUAGAUUAUUGCAAUUAUUAAUCUUGAACGAGGAAUUCCUAGUAAACGCAAAUCAUCAAUUUGCAUUGAUUACGUCCCUGCCCUUUGUACGCACCGCCCGUCGCACCUACCGAUUGAAUGGUCCGGUGAAGCCUCGGGAUUGUGGCCAGUUCACUUUAUUGGGAGUUGGCUGUGAGAACUUGUCUAAACCUUAUCAUUUAGAGGAAGGUGAAGUCGUAACA